rnacentral:lncRNA from 1 species
UUCAAAGCAACCUAGGCCAAUUUCCUUCUCUUAGCAUGAUCUUACAUAAUUAAGACUCAAGAGGCAUUCAACCAUUCAACUGUAUGAACAUAGCAACAAACAUACGAUAAUAACACAAGAAGUAAACUCUAUGACCUAUUACUGAUUCGACCCUAUGUGUUACCCUUCAAACUCCCUUAACUAUUCAAAGACACCAAGUUAACAAUAAGAGCUCAAUAAUUGAAAUGUCCCCAACUACAAAAUUUAACAGAAUACUACAUUCUAUGUCAAAUAUAAAUAGAAUCCAACUCCUUAGAGGAAGUUAUUAGCAAACAAACCAUAGGCAUUAAAGGUAAAUUAGAAAAAUAGCAAACAUAAAAUAAAAUAAAUUUUAGAUCAUGCUUCAACAUUCUGUUUCUCAUUGCAUCUUCUCAUUUGGACUUCACAUUGAGAUUCAAGUAUAUUUACCUGAAAAUGGAAAAGGGAAAAGAGGUGAAGAAGUAGUAGCUAUAGCAGAACAGAAACUAACAAGCAACCAAUGUGAAAUACUCAAUGAAACAGUGAUUCCGAGCACCUAACCUGAAACCAGUUCAAUUAUUUAAACCAUUUUUCUAUUUCACCAAUAAGACUAUCAAAUUCCAAGAGUUCUUUGCCCCAAAGAAUCAUAAAAUACCAAACCAGAAGUAAAUUUUUUAUUUUAACGGAAAAAAGGGUAAAAAAUAUCCCUAUCAUUUGCUAAUGGUUUAUAAAUAUCCCCCGACCACCUAUCCGUUCAAAAAAAUACACUCCGUCCAUCUAUCAGGUAAAAAAAAAAUACGAAGUUAAUUCUAUUAACAAAAAUACCCUGCGACUAACAACAGAACUGAUGGAUGAUCUUUAUAAACCAUUUAGCAAAUGAUAGGGAUGCGUCUUUCGUUUAAUGAUGUGGUGAUUCUUAAUUGGGCCAUGUGACAAUCUUUGACUAGAACAAAAAAUGAAUAUUAUUUCAACUCAUUUACCUUAUCCAAUCCAUUUACAAAAAUGGGUAGUAUCUAUUACGCACAUUCUCACUCAUGUAAUCUCCCCCUUUCUUCUUCUCCAAUUGGGAUACUGCAUAUACACAAUAACCGAUUAAUUUAAGAAUAGAUAAAACCUAAAAUCAAACAACCCGAAAUUCAAAACAGAUUUUAAAAUUUCUCCAAUCAAACUCAGGAUAAGUAUUGAAACUCUUAAAUGGAAAAUCAACAGAUACAUUUGGGUUGUUUAGUAAGAAGACAAGUAUUAAAACAAAACAAAAAUGUGAAACAAAAAAAUUGAGUCCAAAUGCUAAAAUUGUCCAAAUAUAUCAAUCAAAUUUAGGACAAAUAUUGAAACUUCGAAAGGGAAAAGUAAUGGAAAUCUUUGGAUUGUUCAUAAUAAGACAAAAGAGCCACUAAAUAAUAGAGAAAAAAUAACUACAUAUAACUAAUACAAGCACACAAGAAAAUUAAAACCAAGGUGUUAAAAAGCUUGAAAUUAUCACAUUCUAGGAUAAAGAUUGAAUCUAUAAAAGGUAAAAGAAAUUAAAAAUAGCCACGUCACUAAAUGAAGUACCCAUCCCUAUGUUUGAUAAAUGGUUUAUAAAUACCAUUCAUCCAUCUAUCCGUUCAAAAAUACACACUCCAUCAGUUCCCCUGUUAGUCGCGAGGGUAUUUUUGUUAAUAGAAUUAACUACUUGUAUUUUUUUGAACGGAUAGGCGGACGGAGGGUAUUUAUAAUCCAUUUAGCAAACGAUGGGGAUAGUUUUGGCCCUUCUCCGUUGUUUUAAUAAUGUAGAAACUGUGAAUUUUUAUAAGAAAGCCCAGCCAUUUCAGUUUUUGGGAUCUAUCUAUCUUCAAAAUUGCCUUCAACCUCAAGUAACAAUGCCUUAAUAGGCAAGCCAUUAGGGAAACCUAAAAGAAAUUAAAUUGUAUUUGAACCCUUUUCAAAUUUUAGUUUUAGCUCCCAUAUACCUCUAAUGCAAAUUUCAGAAUUUCAAAACAAUCCCAAACCCCCUUUGCUGGAAGCUUUCUAUGGUUGUUACAAAAGAUUCCCCUAUCUAUAUUCCCCAAUUUACCCUUAACAUCCCUAUUUUUUAUUGUAGGAAACCAAAUGGGUAUGGGUCAUCUUGACCCAAGGUUUCAAUUCAACAAACUGGGCUAAUCCCCUCCCUUUGGACCCUGUUCCAAUUCAGAAACCCAAUAAAAAAGAACUGAAAGCAAAACAAAUAAUAGCAAAAGAAAAAUAUUUGGGCGCAAACGAAUUGUAAGCCCGAAGUAACACAUGCUGCAACAUUUCAACAAUUAAUAAAUUAGGCUAAAUGACUUACUAGCUAGAAUUUAACCAAACUGACCAAAAACAGUUUCAGUUUUAACCAAGACUUACUAGCUAUAAUUUAACCAAACUGACCAAAAACAGUUUUAGAAUUAACCAAGCAUGACCAAAUGAAAAAUUAAAUAAAAAAAGAAUUAAGAAGAAAAGAAGAAGAGAAAUGGAAGAAGAAAAAUGAAGAAACGAAUAAACCGAAGAAAAGAAGAUAAUACCUACUAAAAGUCGGACAAUGAAAGUGGAGCUUGAGUCUUCAAAUCCUCCGAUUUUCCAGCCAAAUGUGAUGUUAAUCAUGUGCUCUUACAAAGAGAACACGAAUAAAAUCAUAUUAAACUCGAAAUUUCAAAAAAAUCUUGACUUGGGAUUUUUAGGGUUCAUUUUGUGAUUUAAGAUUCAGGGAGUUCCGGCCAUGUUCGAGGGAAAUGGGGUGAGAUCCUAUAAACAUAAUAUCUAUUUCGGAUUCACAAUGUGGCAAAGCAGUUUUCUAAACUGUAUUAAGAAGAGAGAAAGUUGUUUAGAAACUAGGUCAGAAUAGUAUGGGUUGAAAUUAUUUUAGAUUAUACCAGUUUCAGAUCCUAUAGGAAGGAUAUCUAUUAGUGCCAAUUUUAAUUCCUAUAGAUAUGAUAUGUGGUUGAACGUGAAAUGAAGCAGAUGAGAUUUUACUUGAGAUUCCUAUAGGCAUGAUUUCUAUGAAAAGGUAUUGAUUCUUAACCUUAUGGAUAUGAUGUCUGAUUUUAGCCAUUUAGAUCCUAAGAACAUGGUGUCUAAGUGUGGUAAUAACAUGCAUAAUUUAAAACAAGUCCUAUAGGCAUGUUAUAUAAAUGCAGAGUUUAAAACAGGCCCUAUAGACAGGUUCUCUAGGUGCAGAGUUAAACAUGUAGAUUUAAAAGGAUCCUAUAGACAUAUUAUCUAAAUAGUGAAUUAAUCAUGCAGAAAACAAGCCCUAUAGGAAUGUUAUAUACCUUAAGCAUGCAUAAUUACCCAGCCCUUUUCACUAACCAGUCCCAAUAUUUAUUACAAUUUAUUACAUGCCAAAUAAUGAAUUACAUCAGAAAAGUGUAAAGUAGAAGUUACAACCAAAGAAAGCCUGAUUUUAGCACGGUCACUCAACUAUUAUUAUUGGCUUACUGUUAACCCGGGAGAAGAUGUUAGGUAUUCCGGGUUCCGUAAUUCUAGCACGGUCACUCAACUAUUAUUAUUGGCCUAAUUAUCUGAUUUUAAAAUAUGUUUAAACCUAUGUGCUUUUUUACUUUUAAACCGCUUUUAUUCAUUUUUAGGAAGGUUUCAAUGUUAUACAAAACACAUAUUUGGAUCACGCCACAUAUAAAUGCACCCACGAUCCGUGACAUAUUUUGUUUAACGUUGUUAGGAUUUGGAUUUGGGUCACAUGAAAUGCACACCCAAGUUUAAGGAACUUAAUUAUUAAAAUAACGUGCCUAGAGCAACUACGCGUUUGCAACUUUUCGAGGGCCAUGAAAAUUCGUUUAGUGGCACACUUCGAUUUAUAAGGAUAAACAAGAUUAAUUAAAUGAGGGCCAUGCGAUUGAGAUUUUCUUUUUGCACGGCACGCCUCGAAUUAUUCUAACCGAAGGCUUCUACACUAACUCAUGAUGACCAUAAACUACUUGUAUUAUAUAAUAUGACACGCCCCAAAUCACCUUUGCUUAAACUUAUUCGAAGUAUUGGGGCCAUAGGCUAACCGUGUUGCUUAUUAAGUCUUAACUCAAUUAUUAACAAAAUCUGACUGACAACGCUAGGUGAAUGAGGAUUUUAUCCUUCUUGAUUUUAAAUCCAACAUUCAGUUUCAGAUUUACAAAAAAUAAAAUAAAAUUGGCACUUGAAGAAAGGGAAUAGAUCUGGCUAAAAAAAACAAAUGGAUCAUGCCAUAAUCAAUAAAUCCAAAGGAUGAAAUGGGCAUGCCUAACAUGGGAGGCGAACGUCCAUGCUUGGCGUAACCUCAUGGCUCAAACAAACUGAGGAUCAAGAGAAAGCAAUGAUGAGACUCGAUUGGAGUCCCAUGGCGUGCAUUUAAUAUCAAAAACGAUUAAGAAGGGGGUUAAUAUCGAACCCAAUUAACUAACGACAAGGCAAAGAAUUAUCAACAACAUAUCUUCAAGAUUAGGCUUGAAAGUGACCAAGUUUUAGUGAAGAGAGAAGGUCCAAAGACUCAAACUCACAGACAAGUAGUGAGAAGGAAUUCUCCUCUUCUAGGCCAGCCUAUAGCCCAUGUUUUUAGACCCCAUUCAGGUCACAAACCAGUACAAGUUGCAAAUCCCAUUAAAACCGUAAAAAACAUGACAUUACAUUAAACUACCUUCGCCCUUUCAUUAAUUAAACCCCAAAUCAGCUACUGGGUAUUCCUAAACUCAGAUACCAUUUUUAUUUUGAAACAAAUUCACACAUUUUCCAAAGGAAAAAUAACUUAGGUAUUUGCUAUUCAAAGCAACCUAGGCCAAUUUCCCUUCUCUUAGCAUGAUCUUAUAUAAUUCAGACUCAAGAGGCAUUCUUGUAUGAACAUAGCAACAAACAUACUAUAAUAACGUAAGAAGUAAAUUCUAUGACCUAUUACUGAUCCAACCCACCUGGAUGUGGCAGACUUCUUUGAGCAACCCGAUGGAAAAAUAGACCACCUAAUCGG